rnacentral:lncRNA from 1 species
GAUAACCAAACCACCGUACUCCAUAUGCCUCAAAACUCAAAUCAUUGCUGCGCACAUUGCACCCUCUGUGCACCACCAGGCAUUUCAUCAUCUUCAUCAUAAGCUUCUUGAGCUUGUUGCUGCUGUUUCCUUCUCAUCUCCUCUUCAAUGUUGACAUCAUGCAGAGUUGUCUCUUCACAUUCAUCCAACUCCAUAUCUGUCAUCUGCAUGGAAGGCUUAGGUGGCAGCACCCCCUCCAACGCCUUACACUGCUCAGGUGACAAAGAUUCCGGGAACUCCACAGUAAAGUGGAUGUACAGCUUCCCCUUCAUGAAUGGCCUCUGAUACAUUGGCAUACCCUCGUCAUUUAUCGCCUUGAAUUGAUCUACACAAACAAUGAUCAUAAAAUAACAAUCAGAAUCAGAC